rnacentral:misc_RNA from 1 species
AACGCACCUUGCGCCCUUUGGUAUUCCGAAGGGCACACCUGUUUGAGUGUCAUUAAUUCCUCAACCCUGUCAUUUUAUUAGUGGAAUGGCAAUGGUUGGAUGCUGAGUGUUGCUGGAUUUUCAGUUCAGCUCACUUUAAAUUUAUGAGCAGGCUCCUAUCGUUUUCGGACUGACUCAACGUAAUAAGAAAUUUCGUUGAGGACGCUUGACUGCGGCCGAAUUGUAGGGAAAUGCCGCUACUAGUUGACCCUUAUAUUUUAGACCUCAAAUCAGGUGGGACUACCCGCUGAACUUAA